AGAGUAAAUCAGACAAUCGCUGCUUAAGAUUUUUAAGGAGAGGAAAGUCCGAGCUCCAUAGGGCAGGGUGCUUGGUAACACCAAGUGGAGGCGACUCUAAGGAAAGUGCAACAGAAAUAAACCGCCUAUUUUAUAGGUAAGGAUGGAAAGGCGAGGUAAGAGCUCACCAGCAGUAUGGUGACAUACUGGCUAUGUAAACCCCACCUGGAGCAAGACUGAAUAGGAUAGCGUUAAGGUUGCCCGCUUUGCUAUCGGGUAUGUCGCUCGAGUCUAUUGGUGACAAUAGACCUAGAUAGAUGAUUGUCUAAUACAGAACUCGGCUUAUAGAUUUGCUCUAAAU
rnacentral:RNase_P_RNA from 2 species